rnacentral:lncRNA from 1 species
GAGCUGUAAGCUGUUCUUCUGGACCAAGUGAAGGCUAUUCUUGGUAUAGACUUCAGAUUAAGACAGAAAUUGUCUUUCAUCCAUGUCCCCAGUCUUUAGAUUAGAUUUAGCUCUUAGCAAUGAUUGCAGGUGUCUUGAGAUUUGUAGGCUGAAAUAUUAUGCUGCUUUUUUAAGGAGAAACAAUGGAAGGUGAUAUUUAUUGCCUGCAUUCUUUUUCAGACUUCAAAACAAGUGGUUUGGUUCUUAUCUUUACACAGUGACACUAACUAAGGAGCAGGAUAUUAUUUCAAUUUCAUGCUUCAUAUUUUUUCAGCAUAAAGUAUUUUCAAAAGGUCACUCAGGUAUUUUGACAUGUAUUUUCCUUGAGCUGGGCCAUAACAGAAAGAUCUUUACUAUUUUUGCAUAUUUUGUCAGUGUUAUUUAUUAUUUUAAUGAUAAAGAUGGAUUUUGGCAAUGUUGACUACAAGCUUUGUUUAAAAUAGAUUUCAUUGGCUUGUGGUUCAUUUCUGUACUCAAUCUUGGAGGUGAUAGAGAAAAUUUUGGCAGCUCUUUAUACUGAGACAACAUUAAAAGCAAUCAAGAAGUGUUUGCAGUCUGUUCAGAAACACAAAAAAUUAUCUUCUUCUAAUCCCCUUCCUAAAAAUAUGUAGCUUUUUGACAGAAAUCAGCCCUUUUAAUGAAUAUAUAAACUAGAUGAGCCCUCUGUUUUCCGUCAUUAAAUAAAUGCGACAGAAAACUUUCAACCAGGUUUUGGCUUUACCUUGUUCUAAAGUAUGCCCUAGAACUUGUUCUUACCCUUCAUGCUCACCUGUCAGCUUCCCCUGCUUUCAAGAAAAUAUGUGUGUUUGAGCAGCAAUUUCCUGUCCUAUGAUAAUGUGAUUUCUCUUCUCACGAGUUUUGGUUGCAGGUAUGAGGAGCCCUCUGUGCCAGCACACAAGGUUUCAUGUGGGACCCCAGCUCCAGGCAGCCUCCUUGGGACUGGAUGACCUCAGCAAACGCCACCUCAUGGUUGUGCCUGGCCCUGGAUCCCACCACCACGCCUAAUAGGAGGAGAUGGAGCAGCAGUCAGAGAUGGGAGAGAGGGUCAGGGAGAAGUAAUGGCUCGGACAAGAAGUCAGAAGCAUCAAAACGUCAGCUUUCCCUAAGCAGAAAGUAAUUCUGCAUGUUUUAUUUUCUGGGUAUCUGACUUCAUACCCUGGGGCCUGAUUUGCUGAAAUGCUGAGUAUUGCAGCUGCAACUGAGCUCAAUAGGAC